rnacentral:rRNA from 1 species
CGGACGGGUGAGUAAUGUCUGGGAAACUGCCUGAUGGAGGGGGAUAACUACUGGAGACGGUAGCUAAUACCGCAUAACGUCGCAAGACCAAAGAGGGGGACCUUCGGGCCUCUUGCCAUCGGAUGUGCCCAGAUGGGAUUAGCUAGUAGGUGGGGUAACGGCUCACCUAGGCGACGAUCCCUAGCUGGUCUGAGAGGAUGACCAGCCACACUGGAACUGAGACACGGUCCAG